rnacentral:lncRNA from 1 species
CGAGGAGGUAUUGGGAUUGACUCCUGCGGUGAAGACAUGGAAGCCAGUGAUGAUGAGUUUGAAGAUGAAACUACACCUGCUUAGAGAAUUACAGUUACUGAAAGCGAUGUGAACUCUCGGCCUACAACAGAAUUUCAUGAGCCAGAGAAAAUGGGCUCUGCAGAAUUUGAUUCUGUGUUUUAACAGCGUGGAGAGGCUGGAUACAUGUAUUUAUGCCAUUAAGCGAUCAGAAAAGUCACUGGCCGGCUCCGUUGAUGAGCAGAACCCUUUGAGAGAAGUGUAUGCUCAGGCAGUGCUCGGACGGCAUUCGCGUACUUUGACACUUGUCUGCUUGGGCAGAUGCUCAUAUGCUUACACAGAAUGGAUACCGUGAUGGUGGAAGGUUUGUUGAUGCUAUAAGUGAAAAUUACCGAAUCACGAGUUACUUUAAAGAAGCAGAGUUGAAGGAUCUCCUUCUGCAAGUUGGCCGGGGCUCGAGGUAUAUUCAUUCAAUGUCUUUAAUUCACAGGGAUAAGGAACCUUGUCUCAAACCUCAAUCCCCAGUGCUGCCUCUGAAGAAGGAGAUGAAGAUGACUGGGCAUCCAACAAAGUUACCUGUAAAAUUCGUGAUUGUGGGUAUGUAACAAGGAUCUCUAACCCACAAGUUGAAGAGACUGAUAGUCUUUUUUUUUUUUUGCAAGUGAAGUUUUACAGGAGAAUUAUACCAUCUACCAAAAGCAGAUAUCUUGCACUUCCCCUCACAGUGGUCUGUGCUGCUGGUCUGUGCUCUUCCCAGGAAUGGAGACCAAUGGCAUGGAAUCAGAGAGAAUAGAUUACCUCAGAUACCACAAGUGCUUUCCCAAGAAUUUUCAGAGUUGCUAAAAGUUAUGAUUCAUUCAUAUCCAGAGAGAAGACCCUCAGCAAUGGCCCUCUAAAGCAUUCACUGCUGCUGUCUGCUUCUAGGAAGAGUAGAGAACCACUGUGUAUAGGAUUGAAUGUUGAAACUUUCAAAAAUACACUUUUACAAAAAGAACUCACGAGGGCAUAGAUGGUAAAGGCUGCAGCUGAGGAAGGAGCACUCUUCACUGAUCAGAGGCCACUAGGUCCACCACGCAUAGGAACACAACAUCUUGGCUUAUUAGAAAGAAAAUGAAGUGCUCUGUCAGCCUUCUAGUAA